rnacentral:rRNA from 1 species
AGAGUAUUUGGUGGAUGCCUUGGGUCUGAAAGUCGAUGAAGGACGCGAUUACCUGCGAUAAGCUUCGUGGAGUUGGAAAUAAACUAUGAUACGGAGAUUUCCGAAUGGGGUAACCUAACUGAGCAAACCUCAGUUGCAUUUUGAUGAAUCCAUAGUCAAAUUAGCGAGACACGUUGCGAAUUGAAACAUCUUAGUAGCAACAGGAAAAGAAAAUAAAUAAUGAUUUCGUCAGUAGUGGCGAGCGAAAGCGAAAGAGCCCAAACCUGUAAAAAGGGGUUGUAGGACAUCUUACAUUGAGUUACAAAAUUUUAUGAUAGUAGAAGAAGUUGGAAAGCUUCAACAUAGAAGGUGAUAUUCCUGUAUACGAAAUCAUAAAAUCUCAUAGAUGUAUCCUGAGUAGGGCGGGGCACGUGAAACCCUGUCUGAAUCUGCCGGGACCACCCGGUAAGGCUAAAUACUAAUCAGACACCGAUAGUGAACUAGUACCGUGAGGGAAAGGUGAAAAGAACCCCGAGAGGGGAGUGAAAUAGAUUCUGAAACCAUUUACUUACAAGUAGUCAGAGCACGUUAAAGUGUGAUGGCGUACAUCUUGCAGUAUGGGCCGGCGAGUUAUGUUAAUAUGCAAGGUUAAGCAGAAAAAAGCGGAGCCGUAGGGAAACCGAGUCUGAAUAGGGCGACUUUAGUAUAUUGGCAUAUACCCGAAACCAGGUGAUCUAUCCAUGAGCAGGUUGAAGCUUAGGUAAAACUAAGUGGAGGACCGAACCGUAGUACGCUAAAAAGUGCCCGGAUGACUUGUGGAUAGCGGUGAAAUUCCAAUCGAACCUGGAGAUAGCUGGUUCUCUUCGAAAUAGCUUUAGGGCUAGCGUAUAGUAUUGUUUAAUGGGGGUAGAGCACUGAAUGUGGAAUGGCGGCAUCUAGCUGUACUGACUAUAAUCAAACUCCGAAUACCAUUAAAAUUAAGCUAUGCAGUCGGAACGUGGGUGAUAACGUCCACGCUCGCGAGGGAAACAACCCAGAUCGUCAGCUAAGGUCCCAAAAUUGUGUUAAGUGAGAAAGGUUGUGAGAUUUCAUAAACAACUAGGAAGUUGGCUUAGAAGCAGCCACCUUUUAAAGAGUGCGUAAUUGCUCACUAGUCAAGAGAUCUUGCGCCAAUAAUGUAACGGGACUCAAACACAAUACCGAAGCUACGGGCACAUUAUGUGCGUUAGGAGAGCGUUUUAAUUUCGUUGAAGUCAGACCGUGAGGACUGGUGGAGAGAUUAAAAGUGAGAAUGCCGGCAUGAGUAACGAUUCGAAGUGAGAAUCUUCGACGCCUAUUGGGAAAGGUUUCCUGGGCAAGGUUCGUCCACCCAGGGUUAGUCAGGGCCUAAGAUGAGGCAGAAAUGCAUAGUCGAUGGACAACAGGUUAAUAUUCCUGUACUUGGUAAAAGAAUGAUGGAGUGACGAAAAAGGAUAGUUCUACCACUUACUGGAUUGUGGGGUAAGCAACAAGAGAGUUAUAUAGGCAAAUCUGUAUAGCAUAAUCUUGAGUUGUGAUGCAUAGUGAAGACUUCGGUCGAGUAACGAAUUGAAUGAUUUCAUGUUUCCAAGAAAAGCUUCUAGUGUUAAUUUUUUAUCAACCUGUACCGAGAACGAACACACGUUCCCAAGAUGAGUAUUCUAAGGCGAGCGAGAAAACCAAUGUUAAGGAACUCUGCAAAAUAACCCCGUAAGUUCGCGAGAAGGGGCGCCUAUUUUUAAUAGGCCACAGAAAAUAGGGGGGGCAACUGUUUAUCAAAAACACAGCUCUCUGCUAAGUUGUAAAACGACGUAUAGAGGGUGAAGCCUGCCCAGUGCCCGAAGGUUAAACGGAGAUGUUAGCUUACGCAAAGCAUUAAAGUGAAGCCCGGGUGAACGGCGGCCGUAACUAUAACGGUCCUAAGGUAGCGAAAUUCCUUGUCAACUAAUUAUUGACCUGCACGAAAGGCGCAAUGAUCUCCCUACUGUCUCAACAUUGGACUCGGUGAAAUUAUGGUACCAGUGAAAACGCUGGUUACCCGCAUCAAGACGAAAAGACCCCGUGGAGCUUUACUAUAACUUCGUA